rnacentral:siRNA from 1 species
UUAGCAUAUGGUAUGGCGUC